GACGAACGCUGGCGGCGUGCUUAACACAUGCAAGUCGAACGGAAAGGCCUGCUUUCCCUUGUGGAUUGCGGGUACUCGAGUGGCGAACGGGUGAGUAACACGUGAGUGAUCUGCCCCCAACUUGGGUAUAAGCCUGGGAAACUGGGUCUAAUUCCCGAUAGGACUGCAGGGUGGUGCCUGUGGUGGAAAACGAUUUUCUAGUGGUUGGGGAUGAGCUCGCGGCCUAUCAGCUUGUUGGUGGGGUAAUGGCCUACCAAGGCGGCGACGGGUAGCCGGCCUGAGAGGGUGGACGGCCACAUUGGGACUGAGAUACGGCCCAGACUCAUACGGGAGGCAGCAGUGGGGAAUAUUGCACAAUGGGCGGAAGCCUGAUGCAGCGACGCCGCGUGGGGGAUGACGGCCUUCGGGUUGUAAACUCCUUUCGACCGCGAGGAAGCCACCUGGUUGGAAGGGUGGUGACGGUAGUGGUAGAAGAAGCACCGGCUAACUACGUG
rnacentral:rRNA from 1 species